CAGCAGCCGCGGUAAUACGGAGGGUGCAAGCGUUAAUCGGAAUUACUGGGCGUAAAGCGCACGCAGGCGGUCUGUCAAGUCAGAUGUGAAAUCCCCGGGCUUAACCUGGGAACUGCAUUUGAAACUGGCAGGCUAGAGUCUUGUAGAGGGGGGUAGAAUUCCAGGUGUAGCGGUGAAAUGCGUAGAGAUCUGGAGGAAUACCGGUGGCGAAGGCGGCCCCCUGGACAAAGACUGACGCUCAGGUGCGAAAGCGUGGGGAGCAAACAGGAUUAGAUACCCCUGUAGUCCCUGUCUCUUAUCC
rnacentral:rRNA from 1 species